rnacentral:misc_RNA from 1 species
GAAAUGCGAAACGUAGUGUGAAAUGCAUAGACCUGUGAAUCAUUGAAUCUUUGAACGCACCUUGCGCUCUGCGGCAUGCUGUGGAGCAUGCCUGUGUGAGAAUUGGAACAACUAUAACCGGGUGGUUGAUCUGGGGUGCUGUUCAGUGUGGACACGCUCUUAAAGAAAUGUCACAGCAGCAGGCGUGCAAGGCGGGUUAAGCAUGGGCUGGGGUCCAUCCGACGUCAAGCUGUCCGUGUGCUGUGCGCAAAAUUGUGUUGGUAGGCGAUUAUGUAUUAAACUGUACGUACUCGACACACCAACCAACACAUACUUCAUACACCUCUCUCACACAGGCAAGAGUACCCGCUGAACUUAA